rnacentral:rRNA from 1 species
UACGGGGGGGAGCAAGCGUUGUUCGGAUUUACUGGGCGUAAAGGGCGCGUAGGCGGCGUGACAAGUCACUUGUGAAAUCUCCGGGCUUAACUCGGAACGGUCAAGUGAUACUGUCGUGCUAGAGUACAGAAGGGGCAACUGGAAUUCUCGGUGUAGCGGUGAAAUGCGUAGAUAUCGAGAGGAACACCUGCGGCGAAGGCGGGUUGCUGGGCUGAUACUGACGCUGAGGCGCGAAAGCUAGGGGAGCAAACGGG